rnacentral:rRNA from 1 species
CGGGGUGCCGGACAAGCGGUGGAGCAUGUGGUUUAAUUGGAUGCAACGCGAAGAACCUUACAGCCCCUUGACAUACCCGAUCGCGAUUCCAGAGAUGGAUUUCUUCAGUUUGCUGGAUCGGAUACAGGUGCUGCAUGGCUGUCGUCAGCUCGUGUCGUGAGAUGUUGGGUUAAGUCCCGCAACGAGCGCCACCCUCGCUUUCAGUUGCCAUCAUUUAGUUGGGCACUCUGGAGGAACCGCCGGUGACAAGCCGGAGGAAGGUGGGGAUGACGUCAAGUCCUCAUGGCCCUUACGGGCUGGGCUACACACGUGCUACAAUGGCGGUGACAGUGGGAUGCGAUGGGGCGACCCUGAGCUAAUCUCAAAAAGCCGUCUCAGUUCGGAUUGCAGUCUGCAACUCGACUGCAUGAAGUUGGAAUCGCUAGUAAUCGUGGAUCAGCAUGCCACGGUGAAUACGUUCCCGGGCCUUGUACACACCGCCCGUCACACCAUGGGAGUUGGUUUUACCUCAAGACGGCGAGCUAACCGGCAAGGAGGCA